ACCCAGACUCCUACGGGAGGCAGCAGUGGGGAAUAUUGCACAAUGGGGGGAACCCUGAUGCAGCGACGCCGCGUGGGUGAAGAAGUCAUUCGUGACGUAAAGCCCUAUCAGCAGGGAAGAAAAUGACGGUACCUGACUAAGAAGCCCCGGCUAACUACGUGCCAGCAGCCGCGGUAAUACGUAGGGGGCAAGCGUUAUCCGGAUUUACUGGGUGUAAAGGGAGCGUAGACGGCGGCGCAAGUCCGGAGUGAAAGCCCACGGCCCAACCGUGGGACUGCUCUUGGAACUGCGCGGCUGGAGUGCAGGAGGGGCAGGCGGAAUUCCUGGUGUAGCGGUGAAAUGCGUAGAUAUCAGGAGGAACACCGGUGACGAAGGCGGCCUGCUGGACUGCGACUGACGUUGAGGCCCGAAAGCGUGGGGAGCAAACAGGAUUAGAUACCCCUGUAGGG
rnacentral:rRNA from 1 species